rnacentral:lncRNA from 1 species
CGGUCACGUCUUAAAUAAUUCAUUCUACAUCCGGACAUCUCAUAUUAGGAUCUUCAAAUUCAUACAAAAACAUGCAAGAUAUGAAAUAUACAUACUACAAAGAACCUAUCUACUCCUCGUCGAAGAUGUCGACGAUCUCCGUGUCCUCCGAUAGAUAAAUGACCGUCUGCCGCAGCUCUGCCCCCUUCGGAUUUUUGGUUGAAGACCAGCACACGAAUUAGAAGAGAAACGGGAGAGGGUGAAGCCAAACUCGGAUGAGAAGAUAUGGACCUUCAACACCGAAUCUUGCAGUGGCGGCGGUCAUGUUGAUCUUGCACAUCGGUCGGCACCUAUUGCAGGUCUUGUACGCCACCAUCGACGGCUAGUAUGAAGAUUGGUGCAUGUAUCGAUCCAUCAUUACCCGGGGUAAAGUACUACAUGGAUCAAGAAAGAGAGCAGAAUACCUCGGCCUUACCCAAAUGGGACGGCAAGCAGCAGGGACAUCGAUGUGGCAGGCCGUUGUUUGGCAGGGAAACAAUGAAUGUAUGACGGCAUCAAGG